ensembl:snoRNA U3 Small nucleolar RNA U3
AAGUCCAUGCUUUCAGGGAUCAUUUAUACAGUUUGUUACUAGAGAAGUUUGUCUGAACAUGAGCACGGGGAAGCACAGGGAAGAGGGGCAGCAUUUUCUCCUAAGCAUGAAGCCAGCUGUUGGCGUUGCUUUGCUGCAGUUGCCUUUUGCCCCUAGUGACCGUUCUUCCCCUUGGGCAGAGUAAUGUGUGGAGGGAUGUGGUGGA